AUUGAACGCUGGCGGCAUGCCUUACACAUGCAAGUCGAACGGCAGCACGGGAGCAAUCCUGGUGGCGAGUGGCGAACGGGUGAGUAAUAUAUCGGAACGUGCCCAGUCGUGGGGAUAACGUAGCGAAAGCUACGCUAAUACCGCAUACGAUCUAAGGAUGAAAGCGGGGGAUCGCAAGACCUCGCGCGAUUGGAGCGGCCGAUAUCAGAUUAGCUAGUUGGUGAGGUAAAGGCUCACCAAGGCGACGAUCUGUAGCUGGUCUGAGAGGACGACCAGCCACACUGGGACUGAGACACGGCCCAGACUCCUACGGAGGCAGCAGUGGGGAAUUUUGGACAAUGGGCGCAAGCCUGAUCCAGCAAUGCCGCGUGCAGGAUGAAGGCCUCGGUUGU
rnacentral:rRNA from 1 species